AUUAACAAACUUAAUUGGAUAACCUUUCACGAAGGAUGUGUGAGCUAAUCAUGCAUGCGAUUGCGUAAACUAUACGUUGCAUAGUAUAUAUAAAAUGCUUGAUUAGGGGUGAUAGGCUUUCCAAACUGUCUGAUAACUUGUUCCAUAUGAAAGGUAUUUCGUACUUUAUACAUAUUUAAAAAGUUAAGCUUUUAAAUCUAUAUUAAAUAUAUACUUAUUUUAUAACACAGUGUAGUAGCUAGUUAUAGAAAAAGAUUUAACAUUAAUCAUUUCUUACUUAUUUAAAGUAAUAUGGCAGUACCUCUUUAAGCUCAUUAGAUAAUGUUAAUAUUAGUAGUAGCGCAAAAUAUUUUAAAGGAACUCGGCAAAAUAGCCGCUCAACUGUUUAUCAAAAACAUAGCUAUAUGUAUUAAUAUAUAGUUAUUUCUGCUCCAUGAAUAUUAAAUAGCCGCAGUACCCUGACUGUGCAAAGGUAGCAUAAUCAGUUGGCUUAUAAUUGAAGUCUGGUAUGAACGAAAAUAUGGGUGGCAGCUGUCUUAAUAUAUUUUAUUAAACUUAUUGAGCAAGUGAAAAUGCUUGUGUUAAUAUAAUAGACGAGAAGACCCUAGAAACUUGAAAAGGGUUUUGUUGGGGCGACAUGAUUACACAAAACUAAUCUUAUAGUACAUGACAUAUGUUUGCAUGAUUAAGUUACUCUAGGGAUAACAGCAUAAUUUUAAUAGCUUGUGACCUCGAUGUUGGACUAGGUAUUAUAUCCUUUAGACAAGGAUAUAAAAUGCUCUGUUCGAGCAGUUAUACCUACAU
rnacentral:rRNA from 1 species